UACGUAGGUGGCAAGCGUUGUCCGGAUUUACUGGGCGUAAAGAGCGCGCAGGCGGUCGUUCAAGUCGCGUGUGAAAGCCCCCGGCUCAACUGGGGAGGGUCACGCGAUACUGAUCGACUCGAAGGCAGGAGAGGGUAGUGGAAUUCCCGGUGUAGUGGUGAAAUGCGUAGAUAUCGGGAGGAACAUCAGUGGCGAAGGCGGCCCUCUGGUCCAGUACUGACACUCAAGUGCGAAAGCGUGGGGAGCAAACAGG
rnacentral:rRNA from 1 species